GAUGAACGCUGGCGACGUGCUUAACACAUGCAAGUCGAACGAAGCACUUUAUUUGAUUUCCUUCGGGACUGAUUAUUUUGUGACUGAGUGGCGGACGGGUGAGUAACGCGUGGGUAACCUGCCUUGUACAGGGGGAUAACAGUUGGACACGGCUGCUAAUACCGCAUAAGCGCCCGGCAUCGCAUGAUGCAGUGUGAAAAACUCCGGUGGUAUAAGAUGGACCCGCGUUGGAUUAGCUAGUUGGUGAGGUAACGGCCCACCAAGGCGACGAUCCAUAGCCGAGCUGAGAAGGUGACCGGGCACAUUGGGACUGAGGCACCGCCCAAGAUCCUACGGGAAGCAGCAGUGGGGAAUAUUGCACAAUGGGCGAAAGCCUGAUGCAGCGACGCCGCGUGAGCGAAGAAGGAUUUCGGUAUGGAAAACUCUAUCAGCAGGGAAGAUAAUGGCGGGACCUGACUAAGAAGCACCGGCUAAAUACGUG
rnacentral:rRNA from 1 species